ACUGCGGCCGCUUCCGGACGUGAAAGUUUGCUGCGUAGGGAUAGGGAGACCGGGCCGGAUUGCGGGGAGUGAGCAGGUUCAGCAGUGACGGCAUUCUUAAGAGUCCUGCCCAAGUGAGGGACUUGGGGUGUGGGACAGAGUGGCCCCCAGGGCAGUGGGCGUUGGAAACUGAGAGGCCCUGCGAAGGAGGCUUGGGGAGGGGCUACGGUGACCAGGGGACGAGGUAUAGGAAGAGGAGGGCGGAAAGCCUUGAGGGUGGGCUUCUUGGAUCCCAAUUGCCCCAGAGGCACAGGCCUGGGCAUCACUGUAUUAUUUCCCGAGGGGAGAAGGGGCUAUUUCCCAUGGGAAGACAAAGUGGGAUGAAUAGUGGACCUUGAGAAGAGGGGGUGGCCAGGAAAAGGUUCCUGAAGGAGGCAGGACCCAGACUGCAGGCUGGGGAGGGUUUGGGCAGCCAGAGGGAGGUGAGGGUGCUGGAGCGGGGGUCAAUCGGUCACUCCGGCCGGAGAUCUGAGUGGCCUCUGCCCCCUCUGCGCUGUGGAGUGCAUCUGAUUGCCAGCCUCGCUGGACCGUUGAGAGGAUUCAUCGAGACCCUGGAUAUGAAUAUGCAGUGUGAACUGAAGUUUGGGGACAUGAGUAAUCAGUCACAGUGGCCCAAGAUUUGAGGUGUAAAUGGAGAAGUCAGAAUGAUUCGCUGCAGCUGUCUGGAACAGGCUAUACAGGACGUGUGGUCCUGGCAGCUGCUUCUGGCGAGGGCUUCAGGAAGCUUACAAUCAUGGUGAAAGCUGCACCUGCAGAUGCUGCUGCUGCCGCCCUCCUGCGAGGCCGUGGCGCCACGUGGCUGGAGGAGGAGCUGCAGCUGCCCCGAGUGCUGCCGCGUGUGCAGCUCUCCAGUGCGGCUGCAGCGCCACCGCGCGUUGCUUUCGACGCCGGAGUCCUUCGCAUGCGCAGCCAGCGCCCGGGCCUCAAGUGCCCCAGGACCUGGCGCAGCCCGCGAGCCCGCAUCAGGCUUCCAGUGGGCCCCGUGGGCAGUGCCAGCCUUUCCCACCUCCGCAUCUGGCAAAGCCUGGCCUUCGCUGCGCUUCGGUGUCGCCACAUGCCUUCUGGAAAUAUCACACCUCCCCACCUGCGCAUGCAGCCGUCUGGCCCUCUGUGGGCCUCGGUUCCCGCAUGUGCCCCGUGGAAAGAACAUACCUUCCCCAACUAUCUGGCAGCGUCUGGCCUUCUCCGGGCCUCGGCCUCCCCAUUUGCUGGGUGGAGAAUCACGGCCCGGCCACAUCGGAGCCAAUGGCUGGUCUCUGGACCUCGGUCUCCACAUUUGCUCAGCCGGCAGGAACAUCCCUUCUCCCGCCCUCUACCUCGGUGGGUGGCCACGGCCGAGCAGGCAGCGACGGCCCAGUGGAAAGAGGACAAACCCUUGUGGGCCUUAGGGCGAAGACGUAACUUUGCUUAGUCUCGG